rnacentral:rRNA from 1 species
UACGUAUGGUGCAAGCGUUAUCCGGAUUUACUGGGUGUAAAGGGUGCGUAGGUGGCAUGGCAAGUCAGAAGUGAAAGGCCGGGGCUCAACCCCGGGACUGCUUUUGAAACUGUCAGGCUGGAGUGCAGGAGAGGAAAGCGGAAUUCCUAGUGUAGCGGUGAAAUGCGUAGAUAUUAGGAGGAACACCAGUGGCGAAGGCGGCUUUCUGGACUGAAACUGACACUGAGGCACGAAAGCGUGGGGAGCAAACAGG